rfam:Trichuris suis scaffold461.1, whole genome shotgun sequence.
CAAACGGCCCUUUUCAGGGCCACCAAAUUGAAUGCAACAGAGCGUU